rnacentral:lncRNA from 1 species
CCCACCAUCCUCAAAAGAAACUUCAUCAACCUUUACAACCCCUCCUUAUGUAUGUGACCUUACAAUAAUGAGUUGUAUAAAGUAAUUUUUUAAAUGUAUUAUUUUUUGGUUAAUAAAUUAUUGUUUUGUUAAGAGCCAAGAGGUGCUCUAUGAGGAAUCCCUUUUCUUCUUCUAGCAUUUGAAGGGGGUGGAGGAGGGGUGGUUGGGUAUA